GCCAUGGUGGCUCAGUGGUUGAGUGUCUACCUGUGAACCAGGAAGUCUGGUUCGAUUCCCAGUCAGGGCA
rnacentral:tRNA from 1 species